rnacentral:rRNA from 1 species
UACGUAGGGGGCGAGCGUUAUCCGGAAUUAUUGGGCGUAAAGCGUCCGCAGGUGACUAUUCAAGUCUGCGGUCAAAGACUGGGGCUUAACCCUGGAAAGGCCGUGGAAACUGAAGAGCUAGAGUGCAGUAGGGGUAGAGGGAAUUCCCGGUGUAGCGGUGAAAUGCGUAGAGCUCGGGAAGAACAUCGGUGGCGAAAGCGCUCUGCUGGACUGCAACUGACACUGAGGGACGAAAGCUAGGGGAGCGAAUGGG